UGAUGAGGGUUUAGUAAUAAUACCUGUGCCCUUCCCAGUGUGUAUUGAUCAUGGUGGGAACAUCUGCAUUGUUUCAACACCAGUCGGCGUUUCUGGGUUCUUUUGCCUGUGGGUGCGGUGGGAACAGAUGCAGAAGCUGUGCAGAUGCCAUUGAAGUCAUUCUCAAGAUACUAAUGUGGUUCUCAGCAUGACAUCGAUGAGAAAACAACGCAGAGCGGGAAGAAAAGGAGAAAACAGCAGCUUCUCGGCAUUCAGGAUCCUAGUUCUCAGACCAGGGAUUUAAACAACACCCCUGCAGGGGAAUCACAGUUUCCCAACCACUUAACCAUCUGGGGAGUUCAUUCCCUUUAUUAUGAAAAAAAGUUUCAGUAUGGUCACCCCACUGUCAAGCAUCAAACCAUGUGCCAUGCAGCAAGGAGGAGGAUGUGCAAGUCUGACAGGACUUAGCGGUUUUGACUUGAAGCCCCUCCUUCUUCAUUCGGGGAAUGUUAUCCUCACUUGCCCUUCUCCAUAUCACUGGCCAUACCACAUGGCCCCUGUAAGGAAAUACAUGUUCUGUGGAGCACAGGCAAACACGUGAGAAGAUUUCUGUGAAUGGCUGAAGUUACCUGAACUCUUUCACGGAGCCUGACCCAAAGAACAUUACAAAC
ensembl:lncRNA